UGUAAACAAGGGGCAUAACCACUCAGCAAAUUGUACUUACGGAUUUCGGAUGUGAUUGUGGAAUGUGUUUUAGUUUCAAACAUUUGUUAUGAUUUAUGAAAAUUUGGGGUCGCAAAAACUGGUGAACAGUGCCAGAAGAAGUACCAAAAUUCCAAGGCUCGGUCUUCUUCAUAUGCGUUACAAAGCAGUGAGAGUGCCACAACAGCCAGCAGAGAAGAACAUAUGCGUGUACCAGUCAUGAAAGUAGGGGCAUUUUGUAUUGGAACUCAAUUACAACAUAGAUAGACACAAGGACAGAUGCACAUAUGGAUUCAGGUGUACCCUAUAUCUUCUUAACAGGGCGUAUAAUAUACACAUUAUUUAUAGCACCUUUUUUUAAAUUAAUAAACAUUAAUUCACAUAACAUUAAAGACCAAGAAUAAAAAAAUAAUUGUCAUAAUUUUUAUUGAAAAUGUUGCGAGAAAAAAAAUUCCCCGAUGUAAUUUCGAACCACCGACUAGUCGGUGAAAUAUAAUCUGGAGCACCGAUGCGCUACCAACUGCGUCAUGGCAGUGUAACUUUUGAAGGCAUAUACAUAUCUAUAAGUAAAUUCCUACAUCUAUAAAUAGAUUUGUAAUAGUAAUGAAAUCAAAAUUUAUGCGAAGUAAAUGUCUUGUAAACGUUUUCAAAUAGGUUUCCAUAUUUAGAGAAUAUCCAUUAUUAUAGUUUAUGAUACAUGCAAAUUAUAUGUUAUUACUUUUUCAUUCAUCCUGGUAAAGUGACAAAAUGAGGACGUAUGUAAAUUUUCUUUUUAUCAGUCCAAUAAUUCUGUUUGAUUUGUUAAGUGUACUGUUAAUUUGUAAGUUCCACAUUUUUUAAAUCAAAUCCCCAAGGCUUUUUUGAAAGAAUCUCUAUUAAUCAAAAUUAAAUGCCUCCAUUGUUUUCUGUAAUGUUAUAAAAAUGCAUUAUUUUUAAGAGACUUUGUUCACUUGUCUAUAUAUUAGAGGUAUUACGCUUUUCUUUACUCCACUAGAACGGAUCAGUACCGAUCAGUUCUCAUUGCUCUAAUGAAAACGUAAUUUUUCGGUAGUUCUUCCGAUCUUUCACACGUGUUUUAAAAACUCUAUAUAUAAUCUCUCUCAGUAUGUAUUAUUUAUCACUUCUAUAAUACUUAUAAUACACGAUAUGAACCUAAUCACAAGUUUUUAUAUCUAAAGAUUUCAGACUAAAUCCUUUAUAUGUAUAUUUUGGCAUCAAACGUGUUUCUGCUUUUCGUUAAUAUGAAUGUACAAAAUAUAGCGCACAGGUUAUGUUAAUAAAUAAAUAAUGUCUUGUGUAAAUAAAGAUUUACUGUGGAAAAAGAUAUUAACCUCCGCUUAUUGUUAUGAUGUUAUGUAUAUAUAUUAUUUUAUUUCACGAUCAAUGCCUACACAACAGCUUUGUCAUGUUUGUUGAUACGUAAAUGCUUUUUUCCGGUAGACUAGAUGGUUAUGAUAUGGUUUAAUAGUCAAAAACUAUAUAAAAAAAGUUUUUUAUAUAAGAGAUGGUUUAUAUAGCGUCGAUACAAAGUAAAAGGGCAUUCACUGGAAUAUCCAUGGACGUCAGUAUGUCUGUAGAAACAAAUUUGAUAAAACAGACUCUACAACACAUUUCCAUACUUGUCUUUGUACAACAUUCAAAGAUACCGGUAUGUGGAUCAUUCCUCUUGAUAUAUGCAUGUGCCAUUUUUACCAUCUUGUGUAAAGCAUUACAGAAAUAAUGCUACCUGUUCAACUUAGAAUAACUUAGUUUUGUCAACCCAUGAUCCUCCGGUCGAAAUCCCACCCAAAUAAUUAAAAACAAAUACAAAUAUUAAGCUCUGCAACCACAAGGCUCACAGGUUUCAUUUUAGGUAUGUAACACUGUAUUGUAGUUCUCUACAAACUGUAUGUAAAUAAUGCCCCUAGAAUCAUAGCUGUCCAAGCCCAAUGAUCCUUUAUAUGAUUGUUACUACCGGUACCUACUACAUAUUACAUGAUGCUUUGGACGCAUUGUCACCACUGUGACAAGCUCUAGUUGAUUUAAGAUUAUCAAAAGUUAAAGGCUAAAAGGUGUUAACAGAGAUCUGACUUUGUGAAAGAUGGCAGUUUGGAUCUAUUGGUAUAAAUGAAUUUUGUAUUUAAGUUUUUCACUGUAUUGCAAUUCUUCAUUGUAAAACAAUAAUGGCUUCAUAAAUAAUGUAUGUAUGUGUAUACAUGUAGUUUUUUGUCCAAUUAUUAUGUGAUACCUGCGUACUUGUAGAAUCAGGUUAAGAUUAAAGGGACUUAUCUCCCUAUCAUUCCGCAUAAUGGUUAUUGUUCUUUUUACAUUGUUGAUACUUCAAAAAUGGAUUAAACAUCAGUUUAAGGUGAACAA